UGAUUUUUUUUUGUUUCAAGCAGAAGACGGCAUACGAGAUGUAGCCGUGACUGGAGUUCAGACGUGUGCUCUUCCGAUCUUACUGGAAACGGUAGCUAAUACCGCAUAAUGUCGCAAGACCAAAGUGGGGGACCUUCGGGCCUCAUGCCAUCAGAUGUGCCCAGAUGGGAUUAGCUAGUAGGUGGGGUAACGGCUCACCUAGGCGACGAUCCCUAGCUGGUCUGAGAGGAUGACCAGCCACACUGGAACUGAGACACGGUCCAGACUCCUACGGGAGGCAGCAGUGGGGAAUAUUGCACAAUGGGCGCAAGCCUGAUGCAGCCAUGCCGCGUGUGUGAAGAAGGCCUUCGGGUUGUAAAGCACUUUCAGCGGGGAGGAAGGCGUUAAGGUUAAUAACCUUGGCGAUUGACGUUACCCGCAGAAGAAGCACCGGCUAACUCCGUGCCAGCAGCCGCGGUAAUACGGAGGGUGCAAGCGUUAAUCGGAAUUACUGGGCGUAAAGCGCACGCAGGCGGUCUGUCAAGUCGGAUGUGAAAUCCCCGGGCUCAACCUGGGAACUGCAUUCGAAACUGGCAGGCUAGAGUCUUGUAGAGGGGGGUAGAAUUCCAGGUGUAGCGGUGAAAUGCGUAGAGAUCUGGAGGAAUACCGGUGGCGAAGGCGGCCCCCUGGACAAAGACUGACGCUCAGGUGCGAAAGCGUGGGGAGCAAACAGGAUUAGAUACCCUGGUAGUCCACGCCGUAAACGAUGUCGAUUUGGAGGUUGUGCCCUUGAGGCGUGGCUUCCGGAGCUAACGCGUUAAAUCGACCGCCUGGGGAGUACGGCCGCAAGGUUAAAACUCAAAUGAAUUGACGGGGGCCCGCACAAGCGGUGGAGCAUGUGGUUUAAUUCGAUGCAACGCGAAGAACCUUACCUGGUCUUGACAUCCACAGAACUUUCCAGAGAUGGAUUGGUGCCUUCGGGAACUGUGAGACAGGUGCUGCAUGGCUGUCGUCAGCUCGUGUUGUGAAAUGUUGGGUUAAGUCCCGCAACGAGCGCAACCCUUAUCCUUUGUUGCCAGCGGUCCGGCCGGGAACUCAAAGGAGACUGCCAGUGAUAAACUGGAGGAAGGUGGGGAUGACGUCAAGUCAUCAUGGCCCUUACGACCAGGGCUACACACGUGCUACAAUGGCAUAUACAAAGAGAAGCGACCUCGCGAGAGCAAGCGGACCUCAUAAAGUAUGUCGUAGUCCGGAUUGGAGUCUGCAACUCGACUCCAUGAAGUCGGAAUCGCUAGUAAUCGUGGAUCAGCAUGCCACGGUGAAUACGUUCCCGGGCCUUGUACACACCGCCCGUCACACCAUGGGAGUGGGUUGCAAAAGAAGUAGGUAGCUUAACCUUCGGGAGGGCGCUUACCACUUUGUGAUUCAUGACUGGGGUGAAGUCGUAACAAGGUAACCGUAGGGGAACCUGCGGUUG
rnacentral:rRNA from 1 species